GUAGUGGAUCGCUCAGAGCCGCAUGGAGUUUGUUACGGAGAGUAGUGGCGUCAGGGGUCAUUCAGGGCCACAUGGAGCUCGUUGCGGAGAGUGGAGUGGUGUCUGUUGUCGGGACUUGCCAGAGAGUGGUGGAGCUGCAUGAAAUCUGUUGCAGGGAGUGGAGCAGGAGGGCGGCUCUUGUCGUGACUCGUCAGAGAGUGGUGG
rnacentral:lncRNA from 1 species